rnacentral:rRNA from 1 species
AUUGAACGCUGGCGGCAGGCCUAACACAUGCAAGUCGAACGAGUGGCGGACGGGUGAGUAAUGUCUGGGAAACUGCCUGAUGGAGGGGGAUAACUACUGGAAACGGUAGCUAAUACCGCAUACCAUCGGAUGUGCCCAGAUGGGAUUAGCUAGUCGGUGGGGUAACGGCUCAACUAGGCGACGAUCCCUAGCUGGUCUGAGAGGAUGACCAUCCACACUGGAACUGAGACACGGUCCAGACUCCUACGGGAGGCAUCAGUGGGGAAUAUUGCACAAUGGGCGCAAGCCGGAGGCAGCCAUGCCGCGUGUAUGAAGAAGGCCUUCGGGUUGUAAAUUACUUUCAGCGGGGAGGCGUUACCCGCAGAAGAAGCACCGGCUAACUCCGUGCCAGCCGCCGCGGUAAUUC